rnacentral:lncRNA from 1 species
CAUCAAUAAUUCGACAAAAUUCUGAUCAUUCUCACAAACGAAUUUAACUUUCUUCACCUCCAAUUCUUCAUUUUCCCCAUUCCCAUUGAUCCUCUUUAUUCCAACAAUCUCACAAUCAAAGAUCACAGCUUAAACCCAACUCAACCCCAAACCUAACAAGAAUUUAGGGGUUUCCUCGAAUGAAGCAGCAAAACAAAAGGGGGAAAUUUUUCAAACCUUGCUUUUCAUGAUUGAAAAAAAAACAAACAACCCACAAAAAUUAAGGAUCAAACCCGCAAAGAAUUUCACGCAGCACUCAAAAUCAAGAACAAUUACCCAGCAAGACUUUUAUGCAAUAUUUCAUUGACAACAAGAUUUCAGCAAGAUUUCAACAAGAUUUCAGAGAAAAUAGAACCUUAAAUGGCAGACCGUGCUGCACUGCUGCUGCUGUCGCGCCGAGGAGAGGAGAGCCGUUGGUGUCGCUGCUGUUGUCGCGCCGGGCUGGGAAGCAGUCGGUGCCCGGUGACCGGUGGUGGCAGAUGUUGCUAAUGUCGCGCCGGACCGUGCUGCACUGCUGCUGCUGUUAAGAUCGUCGAAUCUUCGCUGGAAAGAUGAGCCACCGUCGUGUCGGAGUGUGCCGUCGCGCCGGAGUGCGCGUCGCCGGCAACCGAGAGAGAGAUGAUAGAUUGGGGGUGGCUGCUGCGUGCUGAGUUAGGGACUUAGGGAGUUAGGGUUUGUCAUGUGUGUAAUUCAAAUUCACUAGUAAGGUAGAGUUCUAAUGGGCUUAGGAGUUGGGCCAUUUUGUGGGCUCAGAAAUAUAUUUAAUUUUGGGCUUACAUAUAAUAUAUUAUAUAUAUAAUUGUUUGAGC